UGGGGAAUAUUGGACAAUGGGCGAAAGCCUGAUCCAGCCAUGCCGCGUGUGUGAAGAAGGUCUUCGGAUUGUAAAGCACUUUAAGUUGGGAGGAAGGGCAGUAAGCGAAUACCUUGCUGUUUUGACGUUACCGACAGAAUAAGCACCGGCUAACUCUGUGCCAGCAGCCGCGGUAAUACAGAGGGUGCAAGCGUUAAUCGGAAUUACUGGGCGUAAAGCGCGCGUAGGUGGUUCGUUAAGUUGAAUGUGAAAGCCCCGGGCUCAACCUGGGAACUGCAUCCAAAACUGGCGAGCUAGAGUAGGGCAGAGGGUGGUGGAAUUUCCUGUGUAGCUGUGACAUGCGUAGAUAUAGGAAGGAACACCAGUGGCGAAAGCGACCACCUGGGCUCAUACUGACACUGAGGUGCGAAAGCGUGGGGAGCAAACAGG
rnacentral:rRNA from 1 species